AAGUUGAAGAGUUUGAUCAUGGCUCAGAUUGAACGCUGGCGGCAGGCCUAACACAUGCAAGUCGAACGGUAACAGGAAGCAGCUUGCUGCUUCGCUGACGAGUGGCGGACGGGUGAGUAAUGUCUGGGAAACUGCCUGAUGGAGGGGGAUAACUACUGGAAACGGUAGCUAAUACCGCAUAAUGUCGCAAGACCAAAGAGGGGGACCUUCGGGCCUCUUGCCAUCGGAUGUGCCCAGAUGGGAUUAGCUUGUUGGUGGGGUAACGGCUCACCAAGGCGACGAUCCCUAGCUGGUCUGAGAGGAUGACCAGCCACACUGGAACUGAGACACGGUCCAGACUCCUACGGGAGGCAGCAGUGGGGAAUAUUGCACAAUGGGCGCAAGCCUGAUGCAGCCAUGC
rnacentral:rRNA from 1 species